rnacentral:rRNA from 1 species
AUACAUAGGGGGCGAGCGUUGUCCGGAAUGACUGGGCGUAAAGGGAGUGUAGGCGGUUAUGCAAGUUACAUGUGAAAGCCCAGGGCUUAACUCUGGAACUGCAUGUAAAACUGCAUAACUAGAGUGUGGGAGAGGAAAGUGGAAUUCCUAGUGUAGCGGUGGAAUGCGUAGAUAUUAGGAGGAACACCAGUGGCGAAGGCGGCUUUCUGGACCACAACUGACGCUGAGGCUCGAAAGCGUGGGGAGCAAACAGGAUUAGAUACCCUGGUAGUCCACGCUGUAAACGAUGGAUACUAGACGCAGGAGGUAUCGACUCCUACUGUGUCUGAAGCUAACGCAAUAAGUAUCCCGCCUGGGGAGUACGGCCGCAAGGCUGAA